rnacentral:rRNA from 1 species
CCCGCACAAGCGGUGGAGCAUGUGGUUAAUUCGAAGCAACGCGCAGAACCUUACCAACCCUUGACAUGGGUAUCGCGGCUCCAGAGAUGGAGCUUUCAGUUCGGCUGGAUACCACACAGGUGCUGCAUGGCUGUCGUCAGCUCGUGUCGUGAGAUGUUCGGUUAAGUCCGGCAACGAGCGCAACCCACAUUCUUAGUUGCCAGCAUUCAGUUGGGCACUCUAGGAAAACUGCCGAUGAUAAGUCGGAGGAAGGUGUGGAUGACGUCAAGUCCUCAUGGCCCUUACGGGUUGGGCUACACACGUGCUACAAUGGCAGUGACAAUGGGUUAAUCCCAAAAAGCUGUCUCAGUUCGGAUUGGGGUCUGCAACUCGACCCCAUGAAGUCGGAAUCGCUAGUAAUCGCGUAACAGCAUGACGCGGUGAAUACGUUCCCGGGCCUU